rnacentral:tRNA from 1 species
UGUAGUUUAAUGGUAAAACCUCAGCCUUCCAAGCUGAUGACGAGGGUUCGAUUCCCUUCACCCGCUUACCA